rnacentral:rRNA from 1 species
UCAGUUUGUUGGUGAGGUAAUGGCUCACCAAGACGAUGACGGGUAGCCGGCCUGAGAGGGCGACCGGCCACACUGGGACUGAGACACGGCCCAGACUCCUACGGGAGGCAGCAGUGGGGAAUAUUGCACAAUGGGCGAAAGCCUGAUGCAGCGACGCCGCGUGGGGGAUGACGGCCUUCGGGUUGUAAACCUCUUUCAGUAGGGAAGAAGCGAAAGUGACGGUACCUGCAGAAGAAGCGCCGGCUAACUACGUGCCAGCAGCCGCGGUAAUACGUAGGGCGCAAGCGUUGUCCGGAAUUAUUGGGCGUAAAGAGCUCGUAGGUGGCUUGUCGCGUCUGCCGUGAAAACCCGAGGCUCAACCUCGGGCGUGCGGUGGGUACGGGCAGGCUAGAGUGUGGUAGGGGAGACUGGAACUCCUGGUGUAGCGGUGAAAUGCGCAGAUAUCAGGAAGAACACCGAUGGCGAAGGCAGGUCUCUGGGCCAUUACUGACACUGAGGAGCGAAAGCAUGGGUAGCGAACAGGAUUAGAUACCCUGGUAGUCCAUGCCGUAAACGUUGGGCACUAGAUGUGGGGGACAUUCCACGUUUUCCGCGUCGUAGCUAACGCAUUAAGUGCCCCGCCUGGGGAGUACGGCCGCAAGGCUAAAACUCAAAGGAAUUGACGGGGGCCCGCACAAGCGGCGGAGCAUGCUGAUUAAUUCGAUGCAACGCGAAGAACCUUACCAAGGCUUGACAUGCACCGGACGGCCGCAGAGAUGUGGCUUUCUUCGGACUGGUGCACAGGUGGUGCAUGGUUGUCGUCAGCUCGUGUCGUGAGAUGUUGGGUUAAGUCCCGCAACGAGCGCAACCCUUGUUCUAUGUUGCCAGCACGUCAUGGUGGGGACUCAUAGGAGACUGCCGGGGUCAACUCGGAGGAAGGUGGGGACGACGUCAAAUCAUCAUGCCCCUUAUGUCUUGGGCUUCAAGCAUGCUACAAUGGUCGGUACAAUGGGUUGCGAAACUGUGAGGUGGAGCGAAUCCCAAAAAGCCGGCCUCAGUUCGGAUUGGGGUCUGCAACUCGACCCCAUGAAGUCGGAGUCGCUAGAAUCGCA